rnacentral:rRNA from 1 species
CAUAGGUUAAUGAGGCGAACCGGGGGAACUGAAACAUCUAAGUACCCCGAGGAAAAGAAAUCAACCGAGAUUCCCCCAGUAGCGGCGAGCGAACGGGGAGGAGCCCAGAGCCUGAAUCAGUGUGUGUGUUAGUGGAAGCGUCUGGAAAGGCGCGCGAUACAGGGUGACAGCCCCGUACACAAAAAUGCACAUGCUGUGAGCUCGAUGAGUAGGGCGGGACACGUGGUAUCCUGUCUGAAUAUGGGGGGACCAUCCUCCAAGGCUAAAUACUCCUGACUGACCGAUAGUGAACCAGUACCGUGAGGGAAAGGCGAAAAGAACCCCGGCGAGGGGAGUGAAAAAGAACCUGAAACCGUGUACGUACAAGCAGUGGGAGCACGCUUAGGCGUGUGACUGCGUACCUUUUGUAUAAUGGGUCAGCGACUUAUAUUCUGUAGCAAGGUUAACCGAAUAGGGGAGCCGAAGGGAAACCGAGUCUUAACUGGGCGUUAAGUUGCAGGGUAUAGACCCGAAACCCGGUGAUCUAGCCAUGGGCAGGUUGAAGGUUGGGUAACACUAACUGGAGGACCGAACCGACUAAUGUUGAAAAAUUAGCGGAUGACUUGUGGCUGGGGGUGAAAGGCCAAUCAAACCGGGAGAUAGCUGGUUCUCCCCGAAAGCUAUUUAGGUAGCGCCUCGUGAAUUCAUCUCCGGGGGUAGAGCACUGUUUCGGCAAGGGGGUCAUCCCGACUUACCAACCCGAUGCAAACUGCGAAUACCGGAGAAUGUUAUCACGGGAGACACACGGCGGGUGCUAACGUCCGUCGUGAAGAGGGAAACAACCCAGACCGCCAGCUAAGGUCCCAAAGUCAUGGUUAAGUGGGAAACGAUGUGGGAAGGCCCAGACAGCCAGGAUGUUGGCUUAGAAGCAGCCAUCAUUUAAAGAAAGCGUAAUAGCUCACUGGUCGAGUCGGCCUGCGCGGAAGAUGUAACGGGGCUAAACCAUGCACCGAAGCUGCGGCAGCGACGCUGAUGCGUUGUUGGGUAGGGGAGCGUUCUGUAAGCCUGCGAAGGUGUGCUGUGAGGCAUGCUGGAGGUAUCAGAAGUGCGAAUGCUGACAUAAGUAACGAUAAAGCGGGUGAAAAGCCCGCUCGCCGGAAGACCAAGGGUUCCUGUCCAACGUUAAUCGGGGCAGGGUGAGUCGACCCCUAAGGCGAGGCCGAAAGGCGUAGUCGAUGGGAAACAGGUUAAUAUUCCUGUACUUGGUGUUACUGCGAAGGGGGGACGGAGAAGGCUAUGUUGGCCGGGCGACGGUUGUCCCGGUUUAAGCGUGUAGGCUGGUUUUCCAGGCAAAUCCGGAAAAUCAAGGCUGAGGCGUGAUGACGAGGCACUACGGUGCUGAAGCAACAAAUGCCCUGCUUCCAGGAAAAGCCUCUAAGCAUCAGGUAACAUCAAAUCGUACCCCAAACCGACACAGGUGGUCAGGUAGAGAAUACCAAGGCGCUUGAGAGAACUCGGGUGAAGGAACUAGGCAAAAUGGUGCCGUAACUUCGGGAGAAGGCACGCUGAUAUGUAGGUGAAGCGACUUGCUCGUGGAGCUGAAAUCAGUCGAAGAUACCAGCUGGCUGCAACUGUUUAUUAAAAACACAGCACUGUGCAAACACGAAAGUGGACGUAUACGGUGUGACGCCUGCCCGGUGCCGGAAGGUUAAUUGAUGGGGUUAGCGCAAGCGAAGCUCUUGAUCGAAGCCCCGGUAAACGGCGGCCGUAACUAUAACGGUCCUAAGGUAGCGAAAUUCCUUGUCGGGUAAGUUCCGACCUGCACGAAUGGCGUAAUGAUGGCCAGGCUGUCUCCACCCGAGACUCAGUGAAAUUGAACUCGCUGUGAAGAUGCAGUGUACCCGCGGCAAGACGGAAAGACCCCGUGAACCUUUACUAUAGCUUGACACUGAACAUUGAGCCUUGAUGUGUAGGAUAGGUGGGAGGCUUUGAAGUGUGGACGCCAGUCUGCAUGGAGCCGACCUUGAAAUACCACCCUUUAAUGUUUGAUGUUCUAACGUGGACCCGUAAUCCGGGUUGCGGACAGUGUCUGGUGGGUAGUUUGACUGGGGCGGUCUCCUCCUAAAGAGUAACGGAGGAGCACGAAGGUUGGCUAAUCCUGGUCGGACAUCAGGAGGUUAGUGCAAUGGCAUAAGCCAGCUUGACUGCGAGCGUGACGGCGCGAGCAGGUGCGAAAGCAGGUCAUAGUGAUCCGGUGGUUCUGAAUGGAAGGGCCAUCGCUCAACGGAUAAAAGGUACUCCGGGGAUAACAGGCUGAUACCGCCCAAGAGUUCAUAUCGACGGCGGUGUUUGGCACCUCGAUGUCGGCUCAUCACAUCCUGGGGCUGAAGUAGGUCCCAAGGGUAUGGCUGUUCGCCAUUUAAAGUGGUACGCGAGCUGGGUUUAGAACGUCGUGAGACAGUUCGGUCCCUAUCUGCCGUGGGCGCUGGAGAACUGAGGGGGGCUGCUCCUAGUACGAGAGGACCGGAGUGGACGCAUCACUGGUGUUCGGGUUGUCAUGCCAAUGGCACUGCCCGGUAGCUAAAUGCGGAAGAGAUAAGUGCUGAAAGCAUCUAAGCACGAAACUUGCCCCGAGAUGAGUUCUCCCUGACUCCUUGAGAGUCCUGAAGGAACGUUGAAGACGACGACGUUGAUAGGCCGGGUGUGUAAGCGCAGCGAUGCGUUGAGCUAACCGGUACUAAUGAACCGUGAGGCUUAACCUUACAACGCCGAAGGUGUUU